rnacentral:tRNA from 1 species
CGGGCAGUGGCGCAGCUUGGUUAGCGCGCCUGCUUUGGGAGCAGGAGGUCGUGGGUUCGAAUCCCACCUGCCCGACCA